rnacentral:rRNA from 1 species
ACUUAAAUUGAAGAGUUUGAUCAUGGCUCAGAUUGAACGCUGGCGGCAGGCCUAACACAUGCAAGUCGAGCGGCAGCGGGAAAGUAGCUUGCUACUUUUGCCGGCGAGCGGCGGACGGGUGAGUAAUGCCUGGGGAUCU